rnacentral:rRNA from 1 species
GACGAACGCUGGCGGCGUGCUUAACACAUGCAAGUCGAGGGACCGGCGCCCGGGUGAGUAACACGUAUACAACCUGCCCUUUACUCGGGGAUAGCCUUUCGAAAGAAAGAUUAAUACACGCUAUAAAGGAUGGGGAUGCGUUCCAUUCGGUUGUUGGUGAGGUAACGGCCCAACAAGCCUUCGAUGGAUAGGGGUUCUGAGAGUAAGGUCCCCCACAUUGGAACUGGUACCCGGUCCAAACUCCUACGGGAGGCAGCAGUGAGGAAUAUUGGUCAAUGGGCGCUAGCCUGAACCAGCCAAGUAUCGUGAAGGAUGAAGGCUUAUUGGUCGUAAACUUCUUUUAUAUAAGAAUAUGUAUUAUAUGAAUAAGGAUCGGCUAACUCCGUGCCAGCAGCCGCGGUAAUUC